ensembl:rRNA 5S_rRNA 5S ribosomal RNA
GUCUAUAGGUAUACCACCCUGAAGGCAUCUGAUCUUGUCUGAUCUCAGAAGCUAAGCAGGUUUGGGCCUGGUUAGUACUUGGAAGGGAGACCCCUUCCACUGGUUAAAAAUCACUAUACACC